rnacentral:rRNA from 1 species
CAGUUGGAAACGACUGCUAAUACCGCAUAAUCUGCCUUAGGGUAGGAAAGGUGGCCUCUUAACAAUGCUGCCGCUUAUGGAUGAGCCCGCGUCUGAUUAGCUAGUUGGCGGGGUAAGGGCCUACCAAGGCUGCGAUCAGUAGCCGGCCUGAGAGGGUGAACGGCCACACUGGGACUGAGACACGGCCCAGACUCCUACGGGAGGCAGCAGUGGGGAAUAUUGCGCAAUGGGGGAAACCCUGACGCAGCGACGCCGCGUGAGCGAAGAAGGCCUUAGGGUUGUAAAGCUCUGUUUUAAGGGACGAAUGUCGUGGGGAGUAAUAUGCUCUGCGAAUGACGGUACCUUAAGAGGAAGCCCCGGCUAACUACGUGCCAGCAGCCGCGGUAAGACGUAGGGGGCGAGCGUUGUCCGGAAUUACUGGGCGUAAAGAGCACGUAGGCGGGAACUUAAGUCAGGUGUGAAAGACCGGGGCUCAACCUCGGGUAUGCACUUGAAACUGGGUUUCUUGAGGGCAGGAGAGGAAAGCAGAAUUCCUGGUGUAGCGGUGAAAUGCGUAGAAAUCAGGAGGAAUACCAGUGGCGAAGGCGGCUUUCUGGACUGACCCUGACGCUGAGGUGCGAAAGCGUGGGUAGCAAACAGGAUUAGAUACCCUGGUAGUCC